UACGUAGGUGGCAAGCGUUGUCCGGAUUUACUGGGCGUAAAGAGCGCGCAGGCGGUCGUUCAAGUCGCGUGUGAAAGCCCCCGGCUCAACUGGGGAGGGUCACGCGAUACUGAUCGACUCGAAGGCAGGAGAGGGUAGUGGAAUUCCCGGUGUAGAGGUGAAAUUCGUAGAUAUCGGGAGGAACACCAGCGGCGAAGGCGGCCACCUGGACGGAUACUGACGCUGAGACGCGAAAGCGUGGGGAGCAAACAGG
rnacentral:rRNA from 1 species